UGGGGAAUAUUGCACAAUGGGCGCAAGCCUGAUGCAGCCAUGCCGCGUGUAUGAAGAAGGCCUUCGGGUUGUAAAGUACUUUCAGCGGGGAGGAAGGCGAUAAGGUUAAUAACGUUGUCGAUUGACGUUACACGCAGAAGAAGCACCGGCUAACUCCGUGCCUGUAGCCGCGGUAAUACGGAGGGUGCAAGCGUUAAUCGGAAUUACUGGGCGUAAAGCGCACGCAGGCGGUCUGUCAAGUCGGAUGUGAAAUCCCCGGGCUCAACCUGGGAACUGCAUUCGAAACUGGCAGGCUAGAGUCUUGUAGAGGGGGGUAGAAUUCCAGGUGUAGCGGUGAAAUGCGUAGAGAUCUGGAGGAAUACCGGUGGCGAAGGCGGCCCCCUGGACAAAGACUGACGCUCAGGUGCGAAAGCGUGGGGAGCAAACA
rnacentral:rRNA from 1 species